GGUAUGGUGGUGUAGGGGUAUCGUGGGCGCUUGUCAUUCCAUCCAGCUUGCACCCGACCCGGUUUCGACUCCCGGGCGAAUCU